rnacentral:rRNA from 1 species
UACGAAGGGGGGCUAGCGUUGCUCGGAAUCACUGGGCGUAAAGGGUGCGUAGGCGGGUUCUUAAGUCAGAGGUGAAAUCCUGGAGCUCAACUCCAGAACUGCCUUUGAUACUGAGAGUCUUGAGUAUGACAGAGGUGAGUGGAACUGCGAGUGUAGAGGUGAAAUUCGUAGAUAUUCGCAAGAACACCAGUGGCGAAGGCGGCUCACUGGGUCAUUACUGACGCUGAGGCACGAAAGCGUGGGGAGCAAACAGGAUUAGAUAC